AUCAACAAGUGCAGUCCCACGGGAGCGUCUCUCUCCGCCGUUGCUUCAAGGCUGACGGCGGAGCGGCAACCGGGUACCGCCGAUGCUACGUAGGCAUAACUAAGCUUGUGUGACGAGUCAUACGGCUGAUAGCGAGCAAAACAUUUCUUACCGGUUUCGACUUAACAUCCAUUUGCAAGUCCAGUCCUCCGAUAAGAAAGCGGUGACCAUAUAUCAAGGAACUGGAACUCAAGAUGCAACAUAAUGUAUGUUGCCUUUUAAGCCCUCCAUUUUAAGAACUCAGAGCAUAGUUACAACACGUAUGAUGCAACAUAAAUUUUGUUGCAAUUUGAGUUCCAGUUCUUGAUGUGGUCACCUCCCUUUCUCUGAGAGGACUUAAUUUACAAAUGGAUGUUGAGUUGAAAUGCUACACUAGUUAUAGAUGUAAAGAAUGAAUACUAGAGUGAACAAAAUAAGUAUAAAAAGGCUAGUUGAAAUGAUUUUUGCAAAGACAAAUCUAGCAGAUGAUAAACAAUCAGUUUUUCAUUAAAAUAGAUGUUAUCAAUAAAAUAUGAAAUUACCAGCACGAUCAGUCGAUUUGAGAGGAUGAGAAACUUGUUAUGGUCUAACCUUCAACAACUAUAUCAUUCAGUUCACUACGUGAAAUGGCACAGGUGAUCACCACAAAGUGUGAGAGCAAAGCAACAAACAAACUAUAUAAUUCAAGAGCUAGCAUCAUUUAAUAAUACAACUUCUGAGGAA